rnacentral:rRNA from 1 species
CCUACGGGUGGCAGCAGUGGGGAAUAUUGCACAAUGGGCGCAAGCCUGAUGCAGCCAUGCCGCGUGUGUGAAGAAGGCCUUCGGGUUGUAAAGCACUUUCAGCGGGGAGGAAGGCGGUGAGGUUAAUAACCUCAUCGAUUGACGUUACCCGCAGAAGAAGCACCGGCUAACUCCGUGCCAGCAGCCGCGGUAAUACGGAGGGUGCAAGCGUUAAUCGGAAUUACUGGGCGUAAAGCGCACGCAGGCGGUCUGUCAAGUCGGAUGUGAAACCCCCGGGCUCAACCUGGGAACUGCAUUCGAAACUGGCAGGCUAGAGUCUUGUAGAGGGGGGUAGAAUUCCAGGUGUAGCGGUGAAAUGCGUAGAGAUCUGGAGGAAUACCGGUGGCGAAGGCGGCCCCCUGGACAAAGACUGACGCUCAGGUGCGAAAGCGUGGGGAGCAAACAGGAUUAGAUACCCUUGUAGUC